CCCUUAGAUGUUCUGGGCCGCACGCGCGCUACACUGACGAAUGCAACGAGCUUAUAACCUUGGCCGAAAGGUCUGGGUAAUCUCCAAAUUUCGUCGUGAUGGGGAUAGAUUAUUGCAAUUAUUAAUCUUCAACGAGGAAUGCCUAGUAAGCGCAAGUCAUCAGCUUGCGUUGAUUACGUCCCUGCCCUUUGUACACACCGCCCGUCGCUCCUACCGAUUGAAUGGUCCGGUGAAGCGCUCGGACCGCGGCCUCUUGACGGGUCUCCGUCGAUUGGCUGUGGGAAGUUCGUUAAACCUUAUCAUUUAGAGGAAGGAGAAGUCGUANCA
rnacentral:rRNA from 1 species